rnacentral:rRNA from 1 species
UACGGAGGUGGCAAGCGUUGUUCGGAAUUACUGGGCGUAAAGGGCGCGUAGGCGGCAUGGCAAGUCAGAUGUGAAAGCCCCGGGCUCAACUCGGGAAUUGCAUCUGAAACUGCUGUGCUUGAGUUCUGGAGGGGAUAGCGGAAUUCCCAGUGUAGCGGUGAAAUGCGUAGAUAUUGGGAGGAACACCUGCGGCGAAGGCGGCUAUCUGGACAGAUACUGACGCUGAGGCGCGAAAGCUAGGGGAGCGAAC